UAGAGUUUGAUUCUGGCUCAGAUUGAACGCBGGCGGCAGGCCUAACACAUGCAAGUCGAGCGGAUGAAGGGAGCUUGCUCCCUGAUUUAGCGGCGGACGGGUGAGUAAUGCCUAGGAAUCUGCCUGGUAGUGGGGGAUAACGUUCCGAAAGGAACGCUAAUACCGCGUACGUCCUACGGGAGAAAGCAGGGGACCUUCGGGCCUUGCGCUAUCAGAUGAGCCUAGGUCGGAUUAGCUAGUUGGUGAGGUAAUGGCUCACCAAGGCGACGAUCCGUAACUGGUCUGAGAGGAUGAUCAGUCACACUGGAACUGAGACACGGUCCAGACUCCUACGGGAGGCAGCAGUGGGGAAUAUUGGACAAUGGGCGAAAGCCUGAUCCAGCCAUGCCGCGUGUGUGAAGAAGGUCUUCGGAUUGUAAAGCACUUUAAGUUGGGAGGAAGGGCAGUAAGUUAAUACCUUGCUGUUUUGACGUUACCGACAGAAUAAGCACCGGCUAACUUCGUGCCAGCAGCCGCGGUAAUACGAAGGGUGCAAGCGUUAAUCGGAAUUACUGGGCGUAAAGCGCGCGUAGGUGGUUCGUUAAGUUGGAUGUGAAAGCCCCGGGCUCAACCUGGGAACUGCAUCCAAAACUGGCGAGCUAGAGUACGGUAGAGGGUGGUGGAAUUUCCUGUGUAGCGGUGAAAUGCGUAGAUAUAGGAAGGAACACCAGUGGCGAAGGCGACCACCUGGACUGAUACUGACACUGAGGUGCGAAAGCGUGGGGAGCAAACAGGAUUAGAUACCCUGGUAGUCCACGCCGUAAACGAUGUCAACUAGCCGUUGGAAUCCUUGAGAUUUUAGUGGCGCAGCUAACGCAUUAAGUUGACCGCCUGGGGAGUACGGCCGCAAGGUUAAAACUCAAAUGAAUUGACGGGG
rnacentral:rRNA from 1 species